UUAGCCAUCCUUUAAAGAAAGCGUAAUAGCUCACUGAUCGAGUCGUCCUGCGCGGAAGAUGUAACGGGGCUCAAACCAUGCACCGAAGCCGCGGAUAUCCGUAAGGAUAUGGUAGGAGAGCGUUCCCUAGGCCUGAGAAGGUGGCUUGUAAAGGCUGCUGGAGGUAUGGGAAGUGCGAAUGCUGACAUGAGUAGCGAUAAAGGGAGUGAAAAGCUCCCUCGCCGAAAGCCCAAGGUUUCCUGCGCAACGUUCAUCGGCGCAGGGUGAGUCGGCUCCUAAGGCGAGGCCGAAAGGCGUAGUCGAUGGGAAACAGGUUAAUAUUCCUGUACCGAUCUUGAAUGCGAUGGGGGGACGGAGAAGGUUAGGUCAGCCGGGUGUUGGACGUCCCGGUUCAAGCCUGUAGGCGUGCUGCGUAGGCAAAUCCGCGCGGCUUAGCUGAGGGGUGAUAACGAGUCUUCUUAGAAGACGAAGUGAUUGAUACCAUGCUUCCAGGAAAAGCCUCUAAGCUUCAGUUCAAGAUUGACCGUACCGCAAACCGACACAGGUGGGCAGGAUGAAAAUUCUAAGGCGCUUGAGAGAACUCAGGAGAAGGAACUCGGCAAAUUGACACCGUAACUUCGGGAGAAGGUGUGCCUUGAUAAGGUGAAGCCCCUGCGGGUGGAGCUGUAAGAGGUUGCAAAGAAUCGGUGGCUGCGACUGUUUAAUAAAAACACAGCACUCUGCAAAAUCGAAAGAUGACGUAUAGGGUGUGACGCCUACCCGGUGCCGGAAGGUUAAGUGAUGGGGUGCAAGCUCUUGAUCGAAGCCCCGGUAAACGGCGGCCGUAACUAUAACGGUCCUAAGGUAGCGAAAUUCCUUGUCGGGUAAGUUCCGACCUGCACGAAUGGCGUAACGAUGGCCACACUGUCUCCUCCUGAGACUCAGCGAAGUUGAAAUGUUUGUGAAGAUGCAAUCUCCCCGCGGCUAGACGGAAAGACCCCAUGAACCUUUACUGUAGCUUUACAUUGGACUUUGACGGGACUUGUGUAGGAUAGGUGGGAGGCUGUGAGACUCGGUCGCUAGAUCGAGAGGAGCCAACCUUGAGAUACCACCCUGGUGUCGUUGAGGUUCUAACCUUGAACCGUGAAUCCGGUUCGGGGACCGUGUAUGGUAGGCAGUUUGACUGGGGCGGUCUCCUCCCAAAGUGUAACGGAGGAGUUCGAAGGUCUCCUAGGUACGGUCGGACAUCGUACUGAUAGUGCAAUGGCAAAAGGAGGCUUAACUGCGAGACUGACAAGUCGAGCAGGUGCGAAAGCAGGACAUAGUGAUCCGGUGGUUCUGUAUGGAAGGGCCAUCGCUCAACGGAUAGAAGGUACUCUGGGGAUAACAGGCUGAUUCCGCCCAAGAGUUC
rnacentral:rRNA from 1 species